rnacentral:rRNA from 1 species
CAACCCCGCGAGGGGGGAGCGAAUUCCCAUAAAAGCCCGAUCUCAGUUGGAUUGCAGGGCUGCAAACUCGCCUGCAUGAAGUUCGGAAUCACUAGUACCCGCAGAUCAGCUACGCUGCGGUGAAUACGUUCCCGGGCCUUGUACACACCGCCCGUCACGUCACGAAAGCUAGUUGUACCCGAAGUCGCUGGGCUAACCGCAAGGAGGCAGGCGCCGAAGGUAUGGUUGGUGAUUGGGACGAAGUCGUAACAAGGUAGCCGUAUCGGAAGGUGCGGCUGGAUCACCUCCUUUCUG